CUUGAAAAAAGUCAGGCUGAUGAGCAGGCGCUUCAGCAGAAUGGACGAUUUUGUGUCCAUUUAUAAAGGCAGCAUGGAUGCCCUGCUAAGGGAGUAUGCCGACUCAUUGAAGAGAAAGAAGAAGCAGAAGAAACAUCGGGUGGAAACAGAAAGAUGGAAACCGAAGAAACAAAGGAGACGGGGAGUGUACGUGGCACCAAGGAAGAAGGCAUUCACUUUCCAAACAUCUUCCAAGAAUGCUGAACCUUUGAGCACUGCUGACUGCCCAUCUGAAAGCCGCCCAUCCUCACCCCUCUGCCCUGUGAACGUCCUUCACCUGUCUUCACCUGAACAUGCAAGUGUUCAGGUGAAUGCUGAUAGUCCAGGUGAAAGCCACUCAUCCUCAUCUGACCUGCACGACCAACAGGUGAGGAUUAGUACAAUGGCAUGGAAGGUAAUGAACAAGACAGAGCUUACUAGCACGCACACAGACAGACAGACUAUAUAUUUUUUUGCACCUUCACUUUGAUUUUUCCCCUAACCUUAACCCUAGGCAGAAGAAAA
rnacentral:lncRNA from 1 species